GGGUUGUGGCUCAGCGGUAGAGUGCUUGCCUAGCACGUGUGAGGCUCUGGGUUCAAUUCUCAGCUCCA
rnacentral:tRNA from 1 species